AUUGAACGCUGGCGGCAUGCCUUACACAUGCAAGUCGAACGGCAGCACGGGCUUCGGUCUGGUGGCGAGUGGCGAACGGGUGAGUAAUGUAUCGGAACGUACCAUUGAGUGGGGGAUAACGUAGCGAAAGUUACGCUAAUACCGCAUAUUCUCUCCGGAGGAAAGCAGGGGACCGCAAGGCCUUGCGCUCUUUGAGCGGCCGAUAUCAGAUUAGCUAGUUGGCGGGGUAAAAGCUCACCAAGGCGACGAUCUGUAGCGGGUCUGAGAGGAUGAUCCGCCAAGCUGGAACUGAGACACGGUCCAGACUCCUACGGGGGGCAGCAGUGGGGAAUUUUGGACAAUGGGGGCAACCCUGAUCCAGCCACGCCGCGUGAGUGAAGAAGGCCUUCGGGUUGUAAAGCUCUUUCGGCCGGGAAAAAAUCGCAUGAGUUAAUACCUUGUGUGGAUGAUGGUACCGGAAUAAGAAGCACCGGCUAACUACGUGCCAGCCGCCGCGGUAA
rnacentral:rRNA from 1 species